rnacentral:rRNA from 1 species
AUUGAACGCUGGCGGCAGGCUUAACACAUGCAAGUCGAGCGGGGGAAGGUAGCUUGCUACCGGACCUAGCGGCGGACGGGUGAGUAAUGCUUAGGAAUCUGCCUAUUAGUGGGGGACAACAUCUCGAAAGGGAUGCUAAUACCGCAUACGUCCUACGGGAGAAAGCAGGGGAUCUUCGGACCUUGCGCUAAUAGAUGAGCCUAAGUCGGAUUGGCUAGUUGGUGGGGUAAAGGCCGACCAAGGCGACGAUCUGUAGCGGGUCUGAGAGGAUGAUCAGGCAAACUGGGACUGGGAGACGGCCCAGACUCCUUCGGGAGGCAGCCGUGGGGAAUAUUGGAGAAUGGGGGGAAACCUGAUCUAGCCAGGCCGGGUGGGUGAAGAAGGCCUUAUGGUUGUAAAGAACUUUAAGCGAGGAGGAGGCUACUCUAGUUAAUACCUAGGGAUAGUGGACGUUACUCGCAGAAAAAGCCCCGGCUAACUCUGUGCCAGCAGCCGCCGUAA